GAUGAACGCUGGCGGCGUGCUUAACACAUGCAAGUCGAACGUGAGAGGGUAGCAAUAUCCUUGAAAGUGGCGCACGGGUGAGUAACACGUAGGUAACCUGCCCUGGAGCGGGGGAUAACAGUUGGAAACGGCUGCUAAUACCGCAUGAGACUGAUAAGCCGGGAGGCUUGUUGGUGAAAAUCUUGGUGCUUCAGGAGGGGCCUGCGGCCGAUUAGCUAGUUGGUUGGGCAAGGGGCUACCAAGGCGACGAUCGGUAGCUGGUCUGAGAGGACGAUCAGCCAAACGGGAACAGAGACACGGUCCCGACUCCUACGGGGGGCAGCAGUGAGGAAUAUUGGGCAAUGGGCGGAAGCCUGACCCAGCAACGCCGCGUGGAGGAAGACGGCCUUCGGGUUGUAAACUCCUUUUACGGGGGAAGAGGAAGGACGGUACCCCGAGAAUAAGUCACGGCUAACUACGUGCCAGCCGCCGCCGUAACAC
rnacentral:rRNA from 1 species